AACGAACGCUGGCGGCAGGCCUAACACAUGCAAGUCGAACGCGCGUAGCAAUACGCGAGUGGCGCACGGGUGAGUAACACGUGGGAAUCAACCCUGAGGUUCGGAAUAACCGCGGGAAACUGCGGCUAAUACCGGAUGUCCCCCAUGGGGGAAGAUUUAUCGCCUUGGGACGAGCCCGCGUCCGAUUAGCUAGUUGGUGAGGUAACGGCUCACCAAGGCUACGAUCGGUAGCUGGUCUGAGAGGAUGACCAGCCACACUGGAACUGAGAUACGGUCCAGACUCCUACGGGAGGCAGCAGUGGGGAAUAUUGGGCAAUGGAGGCAACUCUGACCCAGCCAUGCCGCGUGGGUGACGAAGGUCUUCGGAUUGUAAAGCCCUUUCGGCGGAGACGAUGAUGACGGUAUCCGCAGAAGAAGCCCCGGCUAACUUCGUGCCAGCCGCCGCGGUAAU
rnacentral:rRNA from 1 species